GCAGUGACGCGGCGGGGAGGGACAGCAGGGGCGCCGGCGGGCAGACCGGGAAAAAGGUCGGGGCUAUGGGCCGGCUCCGCGCCUCCAGAGGGUCGGGCUCCAUCUGGAAACCGAGGCCGGGACUGGGGGCACAACGGACUCCCACCUUGGGGUCGACCACCCCUGCCCCGGUUGGGUGAGGGGCGCCCACCAGAAGCUAGAGGUGAGCGGGGACGUCGGUGAGCGGGCGGGUCAAGAGCACGUCUGGCGACAGGGACAAGGAGCUGAGGGAAGUGAGGACAGAGGGCCUCUCGCCUGCCCGCUGGGUGCAAGGUGGGGGUGGAGGGGUGUCUGCAGCGGAACUGUGGCGCCAUGCCGGGACGCAGGUGGGCAGAGUGGGCCUCCCAGGGCGGAGGCCAGAGGGAUACCAGUGGACCGCUCCUACACCAGCCUGGAAUGGGCAACCUCGUGGGAAGAUGAUGGGGUGGCUGUAAGGACGAAUGGAAACUCAGCGAAAACCAAGGGUACAUACAGUUCAGGAACCGGGUACCUUCUAGGGUGGUAAAAGCAGGUUUUGGGAGGGGGGGACGGACGGAGGUUUUGUUUUGUUUUUUUCUUCUGGCACCGUAAGGUAAGUUAGUAUUAGCAGAGUUGCAGAGGCCCAUUGGGGGUCGCUUCCUGAAAGAUAUCUUGGCGGACAAGGGUCUAGGUGAACGUCUAGGAGUGGAGUACACAGAACCCCACCGACUUCAGGGGAUGAAAUGGUGAAGGGGGCGGGUCCCUAAGGUUCUGGUCUUGGAAGCCAGGCGCGGCCCGGAGGGAUGCUGUUUCGGGAUGCGACCUCGGUGCAGACGCGAGGAUGGCCUUGCGGCGUGUCGGCUCGCGUCCGCCGCUCUGGGGGGCCCGCGUCAGCGCGCGGUUGCCAUGACGACAGGCAGGCGGGGGGCGGGGGCUGCGUGGAAAAGAGGUCAGCUCUGAGCCUUUCUACUGCUCUGGGCUCCGCGGUGCGGGAGGCAACACUGGGUUCGCCUCUGCCUCCCCCGCGGCGGGCCCGGCCAUGGGGUUCCGCGGCCCGAGCCCCUCCGCAGGCGUGCAGGGCUCAGUACCGCGCACCACCGUCCUGCACUGACUGCCGCGCGGUACCCUGCGCUAGGAGGAGCAGAGGCCGCACGCGGUCAGCGGAGCGUCUUCAGGAUGCUUAUCAAGGAGUACCACAUCCUGCUGCCCAUGAGCCUGGACGAGUAUCAAGUGGCCCAGCUCUACAUGAUCCAGAAAAAGAGCCGUGAGGAGUCUAGUGGUGAGGGCAGCGGCGUGGAGAUCCUGGCCAACCGGCCCUACACAGAUGGGCCUGGAGGCAACGGGCAGUAUACACACAAGGUGUACCACGUGGGCUCCCACAUCCCAGGCUGGUUCCGGGCACUGUUACCCAAGGCUGCUCUGCAGGUAGAAGAGGAAUCUUGGAACGCUUACCCAUAUACCCGGACACGGUACACCUGCCCCUUUGUGGAGAAGUUCUCCAUUGAGAUAGAGACCUACUACUUGCCUGAUGGGGGGCAGCAACCUAACGUCUUCAACCUGAGUGGGGCUGAGAGAAGACAGAGAAUCGUGGAUACCAUCGACAUCGUGCGGGAUGCAGUGGCCCCAGGAGAAUACAAAGCGGAAGAGGACCCUCGGCUGUACCGCUCAGCCAAGACAGGCCGAGGGCCGCUGGCUGAUGACUGGGCACGGACAGCGGCCCAGACAGGACCUCUCAUGUGUGCCUAUAAGCUGUGCAAGGUUGAAUUCCGCUACUGGGGCAUGCAGGCCAAGAUUGAGCAGUUCAUCCAUGACGUAGGUCUGCGCAGGGUGAUGCUUCGCGCCCAUCGCCAGGCCUGGUGUUGGCAAGAUGAGUGGAUAGAACUGAGCAUGGCUGACAUCCGGGCACUGGAGGAGGAGACUGCACGCAUGCUAGCGCAGCGUAUGGCUAAGUGCAACACUGGCAGUGAGGGACCAGAGGCUCAGACCCCUGGGAAAUCCAGCACUGAGGCCCGACCUGGGACCAGCACUGCUGGCACCCCUGAUGGACCUGAGGCCCCUCCCGGCCCCGACGCCUCCCCAGAUGCCAGCUUUGGGAAGCAGUGGUCCUCAUCCUCCCGUUCCUCCUACUCAUCCCAACAUGGAGGCGGCGUGUCUCCACAGAGCUUGUCUGAGUGGCGCAUGCAGAACAUUGCCCGAGACUCUGAGAACAGCUCCGAGGAAGAAUUCUUUGAUGCCCAUGAAGGUUUCUCGGACAGUGAUGAGGUCUUCCCCAAGGAGAUGACCAAGUGGAAUUCCAAUGAUUUUAUCGAUGCCUUUGCCUCCCCAACCGAGGUGGAGGGGGUACCAGAUCCUACAGUCAUGGCUACCAAAGGCAUUGAAGAUGGGGCCCGAGCUCCCAGGGACUCAGAGGGCCUAGAUGGAGCGGGGGAUCUAGUGGUCGAGGCGUGCUCUGUGCAUGCCCUCUUCCUCAUCCUGCACAGCGGCAGCAUCCUGGACUCUGGCCCUGGAGACACCAACUCCAAGCAGGCCGACGUGCAAACGCUGAGCACAGCCUUUGAGGCCGUCACCCGAGUCCAUUUCCCCGAGGCCCUGGGUCACGUGGCACUGCGGCUGGUGCCCUGUCCACCCAUUUGCGCGGCUGCCUAUGCUCUUGUCUCCAACCUGAGCCCCUACAGCCAUGAUGGGGAUAGCCUGUCCCGCUCCCAAGACCACAUUCCGCUGGCUGCCCUGCCGCUCCUGGCCACCUCAUCCUCUCGCUACCAGGGUGCCGUGGCCACUGUCAUCGCUCGCACCAACCAGGCCUAUGCAGCCUUCCUGCGCUCAUCGGAGGGCACAGGUUUCUGCGGGCAGGUGGUGCUGAUCGGAGAUGGUGUUGGUGGCAUCCUGGGCUUUGAUGCGCUCUGCCACAGUGCCAGUGCAGGCCCAGGGAGUCGGGGCAGCAGCCGCCGUGGGAGCAUGGUCAGUGUGGCCAAACCCAGCCUCCUCAGGAGGGGGGUUGUCUCCAUCUCUAGAACAAUGAGAUGCUCUCCCCUGAAGUUGGUCCAGUACGGGACCCGCUGGCAGAUGGGGUGGAGGUACUGGGUCGUGCUAGCCCAGAACCCUCAGCCCUACCUGCUCAGCGUACCUUCAGUGACAUGGCCAAUCCUGAUCCUGAUGGCUCUCAGAACAGCCUCCAGGUAGCCUCCACAGCUACCUCCUCUGGGGAGCCCCGCCGUGCAAGCACAGCCUCCUGUCCACCUGCCAGUUCUGAGGCUCCUGACGGCCCCACGAACGCUGCUCGCCUGGACUUCAAGGUCUCAGGCUUCUUCCUCUUUGGCUCCCCACUGGGCCUGGUGCUGGCUCUUCGCAAAACCGUGAUGCCCGCCUUGGAGGUGGCUCAGCUGCGUCCAGCCUGCGAGCAGAUCUACAAUCUCUUCCAUGCCGCUGACCCCUGUGCCUCCCGCCUGGAACCCCUGCUGGCCCCCAAGUUCCAGGCCAUCGCCCCCCUGGCUGUACCUCGUUACCAGAAGUUUCCCCUAGGAGACGGCUCGUCCUUGCUGCUGGCUGACACUUUGCAAACCCAUUCGAGUCUCUUCCUGGAAGAGCUGGAGAUGAUGGUGCCCUCCACACCCACCUCGGCCAGUGGUGCCUUCUGGAAGGGCAGUGAACUAGGCAAUGAGCCAGCAUCCCAGACAGCAGCCCCCAGCACCACCAGCGAGGUUGUUAAGAUCCUGGACCGCUGGUGGGGAAACAAGCGGAUCGACUAUUCACUGUACUGCCCCGAGGCACUCACGGCCUUCCCCACGGUCACGCUGCCCCACCUCUUCCACGCCAGCUACUGGGAAUCAGCGGAUGUAGUGGCCUUCAUUCUGCGCCAGGUCAUUGAGAAGGAGCGGCCACAGCUGACAGAGUGUGAGGAGCCAUCCAUCUAUAGCCCCGCCUUCCCCAGGGAGAAGUGGCAGCGCAAACGCACACAGGUCAAGAUCCGGAACGUCACUUCCAACCACCGAGCGAGUGACACCGUGGUAUGUGAGGGCCGUCCCCAGGUGCUGAAUGGGCGCUUCAUGUAUGGACCAUUGGAUGUGGUCACGCUCACUGGAGAGAAGGUGGAUGUCUACGUCAUGACACAGCCACUGUCAGGCAAGUGGAUCCACUUUGGCACAGAGGUCACUAACAGCUCAGGCCGUCUCACCUUCCCAGUGCCCUCAGAACGUGCACUGGGCAUUGGUGUCUACCCUGUGCGCAUGGUGGUCAGGGGAGACCACACCUAUGCCGAGUGCUGUCUGACUGUGGUGUCCCGAGGCACAGAAGCUGUGGUCUUCAGCAUCGAUGGUUCUUUCACUGCCAGUGUCUCUAUCAUGGGCAGCGACCCCAAGGUGCGCGCUGGCGCAGUGGACGUGGUCAGGCACUGGCAGGACUCUGGCUACUUGAUUGUGUAUGUAACUGGCCGGCCUGACAUGCAAAAGCACCGUGUAGUGGCCUGGCUGUCGCAACACAACUUCCCCCAUGGUGUUGUCUCCUUCUGUGAUGGCCUCACCCACGACCCGCUGCGGCAGAAAGCCAUGUUUCUGCAGAGCCUGGUGCAAGAGGGAUACCCCUGAAACACUUGUGGGGGAUGCAUGCCACAUCCUUGGCUCUAUGGCUCUACGGGCUGCUGACCGGCUUUUCAACGCAGGUAGAACUGAACAUCGUGGCUGGAUAUGGGUCACCAAAAGAUGUGGCAGUGUAUGCAGCACUGGGGCUCUCUCCGAGCCAGACCUACAUUGUUGGCCGUGCUGUGCGCAAACUGCAGGCACAGUGUCAGUUCCUGUCAGAUGGCUAUGUGGCCCACUUGGGCCAGCUGGAGGCAGGCUCCCACUCCCAUGCUCCCUCAGGACCUCCGAGAGCCGCUCUGGCCAAGAGUAGCUAUGCUGUGGCUGCCCCUGUGGACUUCCUCCGGAAGCAGAGCCAGCUGCUUCGAUCCAGAGGCCCUAGCCAGGUGGACCGUGAGGGUCCAGGAACACCUCCCACCACCCUGGCCAGGGGCAAGACUCGCAGCAUCAGCCUCAAGUUGGACAGUGAAGAGUGAGGGAACCUUGGCUGCAACUGGGUUAUUUAUUGACUCGCAAGGGGCCUUGGUGACUGUGGGAAUCUGGGGCCCCCACACCCUGUAUGACUACACCACAGUAUUACUUCCCUUUGUCGGGGGUAGGGGACCCAGCCCCCAGGGGAGGAAGGAGGGAGUGGGUUAGGGCCCAGCAGCGUUUCCAGUGUGUGAACCUAUAAAAAUAAACAACUGCACUCUAC